AACAAUUACGCAUAACAUUUAAAAAAAUUAAAAAGAAAAUAAAAAAAGGUACAGACCCUCCAAUCAGUUGCUUCAUCGUGUUCUAGGAACAGUUCAGUAGCAGUUCCUUUCAGUUUGCCCCCUACUUCCUUCACACCCAAUUAUCAUAGGCCUUUCUUCUUACAGUGUGAAAAACAGAAAGAGGAGCAGAAACAUAACCACAACGCUCCUUGCCAGCUUCACCAAUUUCCCAGCAUCUCCAGGAACACAGAAUCUCGAAGAAUUAAACACCUAUGAUUUCAACUGAAAGUUUAGAAGCUGAGAAGGUUUUAGAGGAAAAGGUGUUUGUUGAUGAUUUUCCAUAUCUCUAUCGUGUAUGUUGAACGGUUCUCAUGGCUUUUGUGUUCAUAUCAGACCCAUGUCCAAAUCAAACGGUAAAUUACAGUGGGUAUGAAAUUGAAGAUAUGAAUGAAAGUUUGGUUAUUCAACUUAUAUUUGGAUUCUCGAUUAUUCAAGAACAGUUGCUGACUCUCCAAGAAUAGGAGAAUACUUUGAAGAGAAAACAGAGAGAUGUUGCAACAAGUCUCAUAUUUGUUUCUUUGGUCGUUCAUUUUAUGAAAUGUUGGUAGGUGAGAACAUCUUUUUUGGCCAUGAUUGUGAUAUGAAACCCAACCCAAGUCAGGAAGGUGAACGGGGUGAAAGGGUUCUAAGACGA